AGAACACGGAGUAGAAGUUGGU
rnacentral:miRNA from 1 species